rnacentral:lncRNA from 1 species
AUUCUUCCAGUCUCGGGCACUUUAAUCCGGAGCUGGAAGCUAAAUCUGCUAUGACAGCGUCUCUGCAUCACAAUACAUUCCAGCAGGUCUGCCCAGUCACAUGGAUUAUUUCAUCCUGACACAGACGGACAAAUAAGGCUUUUUUUUUUACAGUCACUUUAUUUGCACGUUAGAAAUAAAUCCUUUUUCAUUUGCUCCUUAGAAAUAAAUAAUUUUUCAUUUUCACCGUAGAAAUAAAUCCUUUUUCAUUUGCGCCUUAGAAGUAUAAACACUUCUGUAAAGAUGCACUUGUCAAAACAUGUUAAUCUCUUAACCUUGCCAGACAAUGAUCAGUUCCAUUGUAACAGAGAGUUGUGUGACCUAGAGCUCAGGGAAACGGAGAACUCUGCUUAUGUGUUCAUUUGCGAUAUCGGGAUCGAUGGACAACGUCUGUACCCAAUGCCAUUAAAUUAACAAUUUAUUCCUAUUGAAUAUCACAUGGAAGAGAUCCAGAAUAUUUUAUCUGGAGAUUUUCCUUUGAAAGAAUUUGAAAUAACUGUAAGCUUUGACAACUGUCUGUGCUGUGCCAAUGUAUCUUCUUUCAGCUCACCUACUACCCAUCCAUUCUGAUGACUAAUUAGACCAGAUGAUUUCAGACCUCAUUGUGCUGAUGAAUCAAUAUCAUAUCCAGAUCCAGACACAGACUCAGGGUGCCAUUUGGGAUGAUGCAACCUCAGUCCAUCAUCAUAGAGUAUGAAGGCCUAAAUGAGGCCAAUGACAGGAUUAAGGCUAAGACUCGUACUAGUAUCCAUCUCAGAGACUCCCUUCAAGUCCACGAUACCCCCACAUACCAUACCACCUGAUGCUGUAUACAGCAGACAGUCCUAUCAGGCUGCCGUGCCUAUGUCGGCAUUGCAUACUGAUAUGCUAAAUGUGUGUGUGUGUGGACAUACCACCCCAGACACCCUGGUAUACCAGAAGAGAAUAAUCCUCAACAUGUAGAGGAUAAAAGGACACUCAAAGAGAUACUGGUCACCUCAGAUGUGACAAACUCUAAACCCAGAUUGUCCCUCCUCAACAACCCUAUGGAGACUUGGGUUUGUUUCAUCAACUGUCAUUUUCAGUAAACCACUUAGUACUGUAGUAAACGGUAAAUGUGUCUGACGUGUGUUUUUGCAUUUAGUUGUACUAUUUCCCCACAUGCUAUUUAAUGAUUUUAUUGAUAUGCCACACCUGUCAGGUGGAUGGAUUAUCUUGGGAAAGGAGAAAUGCUCACUAACAGGGAUGUAAACAUAUUUGUGCACAUGAAACAUGGGACCAAGACUUUACAUGUUGCGUUUAUAUUUUUGUUCAGUGUACAUAUUAUCCAUGGCAUUUUGAAUGCACACUGAUACCGUGACGAGAUCCUGAGGCCUAUUGUCAUACCAUUCAUCCACCGCCAUCACCUCGUGUUUCAGCAUGAUGAUGCACAGCCCCAUGUCGCAAGGAUCUGUACACAAUUCCUGGAGGCUGAAAAUGACCCAGUUCUUCUAUGGUCUGCAUACUCACCAGACAUGUCACCCAUUCAGCCCGCUCGACGUGUACGACAGUGUGUUCCAGUUCCCGCCAAUAUCCAG